rnacentral:rRNA from 1 species
ACUUAUAUUAAAUUCUUGUAUAUCGCUGUUUAGAAUAUACUUUUAGGUAAUUUUCUUAAUAUAAAAUUAAUUAAUAUUUCAAGUCAAGGUGCAGUUAUAUAUAAGUUUAAUAAUGGAUUACAAUAAAUUUUAUUUAAUUAUGAAUUGUUAUUGGAAUAUAAUUUGAAGGUGGAUUUAAUUGUAA